rnacentral:rRNA from 1 species
UAGGGAAUCUUCGGCAAUGGGGGGAACCCUGACCGAGCAACGCCGCGUGAGUGAAGAAGGUUUUCGGAUCGUAAAGCUCUGUUGUUAAGGAAGAGCGAGUGUGAGAAUGGAAAGUUCAUACUGUGACGGUACUUAACCAGAAAGGGACGGCUAACUACGUGCCAGCAGCCGCGGUAAUACGUAGGUCCCGAGCGUUGUCCGGAUUUAUUGGGCGUAAAGCGAGCGCAGGCGGUUAGAUAAGUCUGAAGUUAAAGGCAGUGGCUCAACCAUUGUAGGCUUUGGAAACUGUUUAACUUGAGUGCAGAAGGGGAGAGUGGAAUUCCAUGUGUAGCGGUGAAAUGCGUAGAUAUAUGGAGGAACACCGGUGGCGAAAGCGGCUCUCUGGUCUGUAACUGACGCUGAGGCUCGAAAGCGUGGGGAGCGAACAGG